rfam:Stegodyphus mimosarum contig62460, whole genome shotgun sequence.
GCCUUCGUGGUGUAGUUGUCAUCACGCUCGGCGUGUAUUCGAGAGGUCCGUGGUUCGAUUCCCGGCGAGGGCA